rnacentral:rRNA from 1 species
UACAGAGGGUGCAAGCGUUAAUCGGAAUUACUGGGCGUAAAGCGUGCGUAGGUGGUUUGUUAAGUCUGCUGUGAAAGCCCCGGGCUCAACCUGGGAAUGGCAGUGGAUACUGGCAAGCUAGAGUGCGGUAGAGGGGUGUGGAAUUCCCGGUGUAGCGGUGAAAUGCGUAGAGAUCGGGAGGAACACCAGUGGCGAAGGCGGCACCCUGGACCAGCACUGACACUGAGGCACGAAAGCGUGGGGAGCAAACAGG